rnacentral:rRNA from 1 species
UAGAAGCCGAUGAAGGACGUUACUAACGACGAUAUGCUUUGGGGAGCUGUAAGUAAGCUUUGAUCCAGAGAUUUCCGAAUGGGGAAACCCAGCAUGAGUUAUGUCAUGUUAUCGAUAUGUGAAUACAUAGCAUAUCAGAAGGCACACCCGGAGAACUGAAACAUCUUAGUACCCGGAGGAAGAGAAAGAAAAUUCGAUUCCCUUAGUAGCGGCGAGCGAAACGGGAAGAGCCCAAACCAACAAGCUUGCUUGUUGGGGUUGUAGGACACUCUAUACGGAGUUACAAAGGACGACAUUAGACGAAUCAUCUGGAAAGAUGAAUCAAAGAAGGUAAUAAUCCUGUAGUCGAAAAUGUUGUCUCUCUUGAGUGGAUCCUGAGUACGACGGAGCACGUGAAAUUCCGUCGGAAUCUGGGAGGACCAUCUCCUAAGGCUAAAUACUCUCUAGUGACCGAUAGUGAACCAGUACCGUGAGGGAAAGGUGAAAAGCACCCCGGAAGGGGAGUGAAAUAGAACCUGAAACCGUGUGCUUACAAGUAGUCAGAGCCCGUUAAUGGGUGAUGGCGUGCCUUUUGUAGAAUGAACCGGCGAGUUACGAUUUGAUGCAAGGUUAAGCAGUAAAUGUGGAGCCGUAGCGAAAGCGAGUCUGAAUAGGGCGUUUAGUAUUUGGUCGUAGACCCGAAACCAGGUGAUCUACCCUUGGUCAGGUUGAAGUUCAGGUAACACUGAAUGGAGGACCGAACCGACUUACGUUGAAAAGUGAGCGGAUGAACUGAGGGUAGCGGAGAAAUUCCAAUCGAACCUGGAGAUAGCUGGUUCUCUCCGAAAUAGCUUUAGGGCUAGCCUCAAGUGAUGAUUAUUGGAGGUAGAGCACUGUUUGGACGAGGGGCCCCUCUCGGGUUACCGAAUUCAGACAAACUCCGAAUGCCAAUUAAUUUAACUUGGGAGUCAGAACAUGGGUGAUAAGGUCCGUGUUCGAAAGGGAAACAGCCCAGACCACCAGCUAAGGUCCCAAAAUAUAUGUUAAGUGGAAAAGGAUGUGGCGUUGCCCAGACAACUAGGAUGUUGGCUUAGAAGCAGCCAUCAUUUAAAGAGUGCGUAAUAGCUCACUAGUCGAGUGACACUGCGCCGAAAAUGUACCGGGGCUAAACAUAUUACCGAAGCUGUGGAUUGUCCUUUGGACAAUGGUAGGAGAGCGUUCUAAGGGCGUUGAAGCAUGAUCGUAAGGACAUGUGGAGCGCUUAGAAGUGAGAAUGCCGGUGUGAGUAGCGAAAGACGGGUGAGAAUCCCGUCCACCGAUUGACUAAGGUUUCCAGAGGAAGGCUCGUCCGCUCUGGGUUAGUCGGGUCCUAAGCUGAGGCCGACAGGCGUAGGCGAUGGAUAACAGGUUGAUAUUCCUGUACCACCUAU